UGAGUUCAAAAGUUGAAAAAGAAAAAAUGCAUGAGAAAAAGAAAGGAAAAGAAGAAAAGAAAAAGCAUGUAAAGUGAGCUCAAUGUAAAAAUAAUUGAGAAAGGGAAAAAGUUGGGAAUGAGUGAGAUUGGUUAAAAGGAGAGUAUGCUUGAACUUUGAAUGAUGAAUAAAACUCUCUUAACUCAAGGAUUUUGUAUUCUAGAAAAACCAAUUUUU
rnacentral:lncRNA from 1 species